UGUUGGGUUAAGUCCCGCAACGAGCGCAACCCUCACCUUUAGUUGCCAUCAUUUGGUUGGGCACUCUAAAGGAACUGCCGGUGAUAAGCCGGAGGAAGGCGGGGAUGACGUCAAGUCCUCAUGGCCCUUAUGGGCUGGGCUACACACGUGCUACAAUGGCCGGUACAGAGGGACGCGAAGCAGCGAUGUGGAGCAAAUCUCAUAAAGCCGGUCUCAGUUCGGAUUGAGGUCUGCAACUCGACCUCAUGAAGUCGGAGUCGCUAGUAAUCGCGAAUCAGCAACGUCGCGGUGAAUACGUUCCCGGGCCUUGUACACACCGCCCGUCACACCAUGGGAGUGGAUUGCACCAGAAGUGGUUAGUCUAACCUUCGGGGGGACGAUCACCACGGUGUGGUUCAUGACUGGGGUGAAGUCGUAACAAGGUAGCCCUAGGGGAA
rnacentral:rRNA from 14 species